rnacentral:sRNA from 1 species
GGUGAGAGCAGAGAGGGCAGGGGGUCCAGACAAGUGGCGCAGAGGGUGGCAGAGAGGUCUCUUGUGCCAUCACUGUUAUCUCACUCUGGCUGCAUGGUCCACACCCCUCUGUCCCCAGUGCCCAGCGUCUCCCCACCAAUCAGGAUCGAGUCCUCUUCCCCCACGGUGGUGGAAGGGCAGACCUUGGAUCUGAACUGCGUGGUGGCCAGGCAGCCCCAGGCUAUCAUCACAUGGUACAAGCGUGGGGGCAGCCUUCCCUCCCGACACCAGACCCAUGGCUCCCACCUGCGGUUGCACCAAAUGUCUGUGGCUGACUCGGGCGAGUAUGUGUGCCGGGCCAACAACAACAUUGAUGCCCUGGAGGCCUCCAUCGUCAUCUCCGUCUCCCCUAGCGCCGGCAGCCCCUCCGCCCCUGGCAGUUCCAUGCCCAUCAGAAUUGAGUCAUCAUCCUCACACGUGGCUGAAGGGCAGACCCUGGAUCUGAACUGCGUGGUCCCCGGGCAGGCCCAUGCCCAGGUCACUUGGCACAAGCGUGGGGGCAGCCUCCCCCGUCACCACCAGACCCACGGCUCACGGCUGCGGCUGCACCAGGUGUCCCCGGCCGACUCGGGUGAAUACGUG